rnacentral:rRNA from 1 species
CUACGGGGGGCUCCAGUGGGGAAUAUUGCACAAUGGGCUCAAGCCUGAUGCAGCCAUGCCGCGUGUAUGAAGAAGGCCUUCGGGUUGUAAAGUACUUUCAGCGGGGAGGAAGGGAGUAAAGUUAAUACCUUUGCUCAUUGACGUUACCCGCAGAAGAAGCACCGGCUAACUCCGUGCCAGCAGCCGCGGUAAUACGGAGGGUGCAAGCGUUAAUCGGAAUUACUGGGCGUAAAGCGCACGCAGGCGGUUUGUGAAGUCAGAUGUGAAAUCCCCGGGCUCAACCUGGGAACUGCAUCUGAUACUGGCAAGCUUGAGUCUCGUAGAGGGGGGUAGAAUUCCAGGUGUAGCGGUGAAAUGCGUAGAGAUCUGGAGGAAUACCGGUGGCGAAGGCGGCCCCCUGGACGAAGACUGACGCUCAGGUGCGAAAGCGUGGGGAGCAAACAGGAUUAGAUACCCUCGUAGUC